CUCAUUAGAUAACUUAAAACAAGUAAUGAUCUCUUAAAUCAAUUUAUAGUAAAGUAGUGAUUACUUCUAAUGA
rnacentral:tRNA from 1 species